UUUGCUUGGAAGGACAAGAAAAAAUUCUUAUUUGCGAAUAUGUGCCUAACAAGAGCAUUGAUUUCUUCUUAUUCGGUAUAAAACUUCUAACAUUGUUUUCAUGUUGUGGUUAAAUCUCUAUGCACAUCAUUUAUAUGAAUUUUUCCUACUAAUUUGUUGCUUCUAUUUAUUUUAAUAAUUAUUUAACUAUUAAUUAUAUAGAUUUUGAGAAAGAAAGAUUACUCAAUUGGUUUGAGUGUUUCAUAAUUAUUGGAGGAAUUGCACAAAGACUUUCUUACUUGCAUGAACAUUUUCGGCUUAAAGUUACUCAUUGUGACUUUAAACCUAGCAAUGUUUUAUUGGAUAACAAGAUGAAUUUAAAAAUAUCAUAUUUUGGUUUGGCAAGAAUUAUUGCUAUAGAUGGAGCCCAUGGGAGCACAAAUAGAAUUGUCGGUACAUAGUAAGUCAUGAUACCCCUCCUUCCUAGCUUGCUAUAUAUGAGAAACAAAAGGAGAUUCUAUGUAUUUUGUACGUGAGCAUUGCUUCAUAUGUCCUAUUUAUUACCAUUAUGAGUUUUUUAUAUUCCCCCAUUCAUUGGUAAGCUGACCUUUUUGAAUGUUUUUGAUUUUAUACCAAGUCUGACAGCCUUUUGUUUUCAAUUUUGUAGUGAUUAUAUGGCUCUCAAAUAUUUAAUGUAUGGACAAUUUUUUAAAAAUUUGAUGUGUUUAGUUUUGAAGUUAUAAUUUUAGAAGUGCUAAGUGGAAAGAGGAAUGCCACAACAUAUGAUACAUAUCUCUUAACCAAUGUGUGGAAGUUGUGGAAUGAGGGAAAACCAUUGCAAGUAUUGGACCCUUAUGUGAUGGAAUCUUGUUGUGAAAUUGAAGCAAUGAAGUGCGUGCAGAUUGGGUUAUCAUCUGUUCAGAAAAAUCCAGAAGAUCGUCCAACAAUGACACAAGUUGUUUCAUAUGAAACAAUACAAAAGCAAGCACCUACCACACCGACCUGAAUGCCCUUCUUCUUAAUUUCGCUUCUAACACAACAAUUGACUAUGGCUUCUACACUUCCUCUUACGGCCAUGACCCUGACAAAGUUAACGCGUACACUUCCUCUUACGGCCAUGACCCUGUCAAAGUUAACGCGCUCGGACUCUGCAGAGGAGAUGUGAAGCCAGAUCCUUGCCGCAGUUGCCACAGAAGCCACACCCUCUCUCCAUUGUCCAGAAAAGAAGGCGACAUUUGGAUUUUCUGACUGUUGCAUGUUACGAUACUCAGACUGUUCAAUAUUUACGAAAUACAAAAACGUUUAUGGUGGGCAAAAGAAAUGCAGGCACUGUCGGUAUGGAUCAAGAUGUGUGGCUGUUAUUGAAUAGGUUAAUUAACGAAGCAGCGACGGGUGACUUCUGUCGUAGGCACGCAGCAAGUGAUGACGCUAUCACCGGAUUUGGGAGUGUGUAUGCUAUUGUUCAGUGUACUCCUGAUUUGUCCAAGAAUGAUUGUAACUAGUGCUUGCUGAAGGCUUUCCAAGGAAUCCCACGAUGGUUAUUAUAAGGGAAGGCCA